rnacentral:rRNA from 1 species
CGAAGGGGCUAGCGUUGUUCGGAAUCACUGGGCGUAAAGGGCGCGUAGGCGGCCGAUCAAGUCGGGGGUGAAAGCCUGUGGCUUAACCACAGAAUGGCCUUCGAUACUGUUUGGUCUUGAGACCGGAAGAGGUUAGUGGAACUGCGAGUGUAGAGGUGAAAUUCGUAGAUAUUCGCAAGAACACCAGUGGCGAAGGCGGCUGACUGGUCCGGUUCUGACGCUGAGGCGCGAAAGCGUGGGGAGCAAACAGGAUU